CACAGGGUUUGAAUAGCUGAGUCACAUCUCAAGCCUGUAUUGGCAAGGAUUCCCAAUGUUUCUGGAAACUGCAGCACACCCAGUGAGAAGAUGAGUGGCUGCAAUUCAGAAAAGUUGAAGUCUGGAAUAUUUGCACAUAAAUCCACAAA